ACGAACGCUGGCGGCGUGCUUAACACCUGCCAGUCGCACGGAAAGGCCCUGCUUUUGUGGGGUGCUCGAGUGGCGAACGGGUGAGUAACACGUGAGUAACCUGCCCUUGACUUUGGGAUAACUUCAGGAAACUGGGGCUAAUACCGGAUAGGAGCUCCUGCUGCAUGGUGGGGGUUGGAAAGUUUCGGCGGUUGGGGAUGGACUCGCGGCUUAUCAGCUUGUUGGUGGGGUAGUGGCUUACCAAGGCUUUGACGGGUAGCCGGCCUGAGAGGGUGACCGGCCACAUUGGGACUGAGAUACGGCCCAGACUCCUACGGGAGGCAGCAGUGGGGAAUAUUGCACAAUGGGCGGAAGCCUGAUGCAGCAACGCCGCGUGCGGGAUGACGGCCUUCGGGUUGUAAACCGCUUUCGCCUGUGACGAAGCGUGAGUGACGGUAAUGGGUAAAGAAGCACCGGCUAACUACGUG
rnacentral:rRNA from 1 species